rnacentral:rRNA from 1 species
UACGAAGGGGGCUAGCGUUGCUCGGAAUCACUGGGCGUAAAGCGCACGUAGGCGGCUUUCUAAGUCAGGGGUGAAAUCCUGGAGCUCAACUCCAGAACUGCCUUUGAUACUGGGGAGCUCGAGUCCGGAAGAGGUGAGUGGAACUCCGAGUGUAGAGGUGAAAUUCGUAGAUAUUCGGAAGAACACCGAGUGGCGAAGGCG